rnacentral:rRNA from 1 species
GAUGAACGCUGGCGGCAUGCCUAAUACAUGCAAGUCGAGCGACAGGACGGUAAGAUCUCGCUCUUGCUGUUGGCGAGUGACGGGCGGGUAAGGCGUGCAUCAGCUUCUACUUUGUCUUGGGUAACAUCGGGAGACAGGAGAUAAUACUGCAGCAUACUUUGAACAGCAUGGUUCAAAAGUGAUAGACGGCUUUGCCGUCACUUAUAGCUGGUUCCGCGCUGCAUUAGCUAGUUGGUAAGGUAACGGCUUACCAAGGCAACGAUGCAUAGCCGACCUGAGAGGGUGAUCGGCCACACUGGAACUGAGACACGGUCCAGACUCCUACGGGAGGCAGCAGUAGGGAAUCUUCCGCAAUGGGCGAAAGCCUGACGGAGCAACGCCGCGUGAGUGAUGAAGGUCUUCGGAUCGUAAAACUCUGUUAUUAGGGAAGAACAUAUGUGUAAGUAACUGUGCACAUCUUGACGGUACCUAAUCAGAAAGCCACGGCUAACUACGUG